rnacentral:sRNA from 1 species
GCUGGGCGGAGUGGCCCACGCCUGUCCUCCCAGCGACUCAGGAGGCUGAGGCAGGAGGAUCGCGGGUUCAAAACCAGCCUCAGCAACUUAGUGAGACCCUGUCUCAA